UAAAAGUGAAAGUCAGCAGCUCCAUUUUGUGACGAGAUUUCCCGGAGUAAAAACACAAGUUUAAUUUACCACACGAAUGUUGGAGUGAAGUAACCGUGUGUCCUGCUGUAAUCUGGAGAAGGAGACAUGACCUCCAACAUGAGUGUGUCUGGAAAACAGGACUUGAAGAAAGACGAGAGAAUGAUGGAGGGAAAGACAUCAGACUCACCAGAACCCAGCUGUGUGUCCAUGAAGAGUGACCAGUCAAUGGGACAUCCAUUACACUUCAGAGACAAAGACAGUUCUACUGAUGUGAGACCACAAAAAUCAAACAUCAGCACAAAUCAGCUGGACUCUAUAUUCAAGG